rnacentral:rRNA from 1 species
UAGAGUUUGAUCGUGGCUCAGGAUGAACGCUAGCGGGAGGCUUAACACAUGCAAGCCGAGGGGUAUUCAGUUGCUUGCAACUGGAGAGACCGGCGCACGGGUGAGUAACGCGUAUGUAACUUGCCUCAUUCAACGGGAUAGCCCGGGGAAACCCGGAUUAAUAUCGUAUAACAUUUGGACAGGCAUCUGUCCGGAUUGAAAGAUUCAUCGGAAUGAGAUAGACAUGCGUAUGAUUAGUUAGUUGGCGGGGUAACGGCCCAUCAAGACGAUGAUCAUUAGGGGUCCUGAGAGGGUGAUCCCCCACACUGGUACUGAGACACGGACCAGACUCCUACGGGAGGCAGCAGUGAGGAAUAUUGGACAAUGGGUGAGAGCCUGAUCCAGCCAUCCCGCGUGCAGGAAGACGGCCUUAUGGGUUGUAAACUGCUUUUAUACAGGAAUAAACCAUCUUACGAGUAGGGUGUUGAAGGUACUGUAUGAAUAAGCACCGGCUAACUCCGUGCCAGCAGCCGCGGUAAUACGGAGGGUGCAAGCGUUAUCCGGAUUUAUUGGGUUUAAAGGGUCCGCAGGCGGGCCUGUAAGUCAGGGGUGAAAUCCGGCAGCUUAACUGUCGAACUGCCUUUGAUACUGCAGGUCUUGAGUGGGAAUGAAGCAGCUGGAAUGUGUGGUGUAGCGGUGAAAUGCAUAGAUAUCACACAGAACACCGAUAGCGAAAGCAGGUUGCUAAUUCUCAACUGACGCUGAGGGACGAAAGCGUGGGGAGCGAACAGGAUUAGAUACCCUGGUAGUCCACGCCGUAAACGAUGGAUACUGUCUGUUGGUUUCGUAAGGAUCAGUGGAUAAGCGAAAGUGAUAAGUAUCCCACCUGGGGGAGUACGUUCGCAGAAUGAAACUCAAAGGAUGACGGGGCCCGCACAAGCGGUUGGAGCAUGGUGGUUUAAUUCGAUGAUACGCGAGGACCUUACCAUGCUUAAAUUGUUAUAUUGACAGGGGUGGAAAACACCUUUUCUUCCGGAACGGUAUGCAAGGUGCUGCAUGCUGUCGUCAGCUCGUGCGUGAGGGUCAAGGUUAAGUCUAUAGCGAGCCUACUACGUUAGUGCCAGCGUGCAGAAACGGGGAACUA